GAUGAACGCUGGCGGCGUGCCUAAUACAUGCAAGUCGAGCGAACAGACGAGGAGCUUGCUCCUCUGACGUUAGCGGCGGACGGGUGAGUAACACGUGGAUAACCUACCUAUAAGACUGGGAUAACUUCGGGAAACCGGAGCUAAUACCGGAUAAUAUAUUGAACCGCAUGGUUCAAUAGUGAAAGACGGUUUUGCUGUCACUUAUAGAUGGAUCCGCGCCGCAUUAGCUAGUUGGUAAGGUAACGGCUUACCAAGGCAACGAUGCGUAGCCGACCUGAGAGGGUGAUCGGCCACACUGGAACGGAGACACGGUCCAGACUCCUACGGGAGGCAGAAGUGGGGAAUCUUCCGCAAUGGGCGAAAGCCUGACGGAGCAACGCCGCGUGAGUGAUGAAGGUCUUCGGAUCGUAAAACUCUGUUAUUAGGGAAGAACAAAUGUGUAAGUAACUAUGCACGUCUUGACGGUACCUAAUCAGAAAGCCACGGCUAACUACGUG
rnacentral:rRNA from 1 species